CACAGAAUUCACACUACCCACACGGGCAGACACCAUAAACUGAGAAAUUCACAGAAAAAUUGGCUGAGAGCCAUGGCAACUCAGGAGGCCCCAGCAUGGGCAAAUGCAGAUCUGCCUCAGAGGGGCACCCACACAAUGCAGUCCACAGGGGGCUCCUAAGGGAAAACUAAAACCAGAAGAAUCAACAUUCUAGAAAUGACAGAGGCAGCUGUGGAAAUGAAAAACUCAAAUGGAUGGCUCUGUUUUAUGAGGCUAAGACAAUUUUUAUUGCACAAACUAGAGGGGUAGUAUAUGAACAAAUUUAAAAAAUAAUCUCAUAUAUGAACAGAUAUGCAAAGAUUCUAAAUGAAAGAAUUACAAAUCAAACUCAGCAUCAAUAUAAAAUGAUUUAUAUUAUUUUAUACAUGCAUAUUUUGUACUCACGGCUUGUUUUUGUACACGGUUUUUGAAAUGCGGUAUGUAUUUUAUCCUUACAGCACAUUUCAAGUGCUCAGUAGCUACAGGUGGAUAGUGGCUACUGUUUGGAUAUUUAAAAGGUAAAGGU
rnacentral:lncRNA from 1 species